GCCUACGAACGCCAGUUGGGGGCGAGGCGUCUCGGAGACUGAGAGACACCAAGGCCUCAGCGACAAAGUGGCUGCAGCUAGGCCGGGGGCGUCAGGACGACGGAGCGGGUUCGGGUCGGUGACACGCAGACCUGAGGGAGCUGGGCCCGCCUUUUCCGCCCGCGCCCCAGGCCCUUGCAGAUCGAGAUUUGCGUCCUAGAGUGGGGAAAAAAGCAGAGGCCAGGGCGCCGAUUUUAUUUGGAGAGAAGCAAGCAUCUCUGCCUCUUUGGAGGAGGAAAUUCAGACUUGAAAAAGUGGUGUACGGUUGACUCUGUUUCUCGCCAUGUCUUCUCACAAGACUUUCACCAUUAAGCGAUUCCUGGCCAAGAAACAAAAGCAAAAUCGUCCCAUCCCCCAGUGGAUUCAGAUGAAACCUGGUAAUAAAAUCAGGCACAACUCCAAAAGGAGGCAUUGGAGAAGAACCAAGCUGGGUCUGUAAGGAAUUGCACAUGAGAUGGCACACAUAUUUAUGCUGUAUCAAGGUCACGAUCAUCUUAACGAUAUCAAGCUGAAAAUGUCACCACUAUCUGGACAGUUGCACAUGUUUUACUGGGAAUAUUUUUUUCUGUUUUUCUGUAUGCUCUGUGCUAGUAGGGUGGAUUCAGUAAUAAAUAUGUGAAAGCUUUUGUU
rnacentral:lncRNA from 1 species